ACGUAGGGGGCGAGCGUUGUUCGGAAUUAUUGGGCGUAAAGCGCGUGUAGGCGGUUCGGUAAGGCGGAUGUGAAAACCCUGGGCUCAACCCAGGGCCGGCAUCCGCGACUGCCGGGCUGGAGUGCGGGAGGGGAGAGCGGAAUUCCUGGUGUAGCGGUGAAAUGCGUAGAUAUCAGGAGGAACACCGGUGGCGAAGGCGGCUCUCUGGACCGUUACUGACGCUGAGACGCGAAAGCUAGGGGAGCAAACAGGAUUAGAUACCCUGGUAGUCCUAGCUGUAAACGAUGGAUGCUAGGUGUGGGCGGUUCACUCCGUCCGUGCCGACGCUAACGCAGUAAGCAUCCCGCCUGGGGAGUACGGUCGCAAGGCUG
rnacentral:rRNA from 1 species